AGUGGUAAGUGAAGGUUAAAAGUUAAGGGAGCAAACAAAUUUGCAACCUUUACAGCAUGCUGCCACUAGGUGAGUUGCAUCUGCAGUUUCUU